rnacentral:rRNA from 1 species
GAGGAUGCGAGCGUUAUCCGGAUUUAUUGGGUUUAAAGGGUGCGUAGGCGGACUUUUAAGUCAGCGGUAAAAAUGCGGUGCUUAACGCCGUAGUGCCGUUGAAACUGAGAGUCUUGAGUGAGCGAGAAGUAUGCGGAAUGAGUGGUGUAGCGGUGAAAUGCAUAGAUAUCACUCAGAACACCGAUUGCGAAGGCAGCAUACCGGCGCUCAACUGACGCUGAGGCACGAAAGCGUGGGGAUCGAA